CCUGCUUCUGCUGAGGCUAGAAGUACCACAAGAACUACAUUUCUGUGGUAUUUUGGUAUUUCCACUUGUGGCCCCAGCUGGAACGAAGAAGGGAAGAGGCAUACACACUUGAAAAUGGUGGGGGUUUGGUCAUCUGCCUUUUUUUAGAAUCACAGGAAAGGUUUUUUUAAAGUCCACUUUGAGGCAACAUAUUUGGGGAAAUAUUCUCAUUCUAGCAGAUGUUACAUAAAAUUAAUACUUUUCAGUUACAUAAAAUUUGCACUUUAGGUUGGAAUUUUAUGAAAAAUGCCCCUCUGGCUUACUGGUGUAUAUGAACUCUACAUAGUUCUGCAACAUAAGAAUUUCACAAUGUCAGUCAUGCAUAAUAAUAAUAUAACAAUCUAAAAUAAUAAUGUAAUAAAUCCACUCACUAGUCAUCAUGGGCCAAACUCUGGCAACCCUUUGUAAAAAUGUGCUGCAAACACAUGUUCAAAAAGUCUCUUAGCUCAGUCCCACUGGCCUCAAGCCAAGAAGUUAUCUAACGGCAAAUCAACAGACAAGUGUCACCAGAAAUAUCUCAUAGCUAAACAGCUCUGCUGUGAGCAUAAGUUAUUCCAUUUCAGAUGUGGAAAGAUUUAAUUUGGUUCUAUGCAAUUAACAAACCUCAAUUAUGAGUAAUUUGUUAGUCAUGCUUACUUUUGGCUAAGCCUUGCUUUUUUCCUUCUCUCAGCUCUCCCUCUUGAAACACCUGCAAGUUGAUGCAUGGAGGUGGGACAGUGGUUCUGGCCAGAACUCUGAUAAAAUGUCUCCUUGGUACAGAUUUUAACUGUUUUUAUGAAAACAGCUGCUCUCCUUAGAGAAUGUGCCCAUGGGCAAAGCUGUUUUUACUUCUAACAAAGGCCUGAGGAGAUGCACUGACAAAAUUUACCUGCUGGAAACAGUGAAUCAGUGUGUCUCCAACCCAGCCUGGUGCUGCUCCCGGUCUUGCUAACCUGGUCAACCCUGUAUCCAUGCUGGGCAGGUUUCAGUCACCUCUGGUGCAGAAAUGGUCUGGUCUGCCUCUCAUUUGGACAUAAUAAGAGCUGGGGCAGCAGUCCAAGGUAGGGUAGAUGCUUUUGAAUCACCUGGUGGAAUACACCUCCAUGCUAUGCUAAAUACCCUGCUUCCACUGGGAGUGUAACUUGUGCUUUCCCUCUAGCUCUCCUAUUACACAGUGCAUAUCUUGAACCAUCAUUUACCUUCUGAAAUUUUAAACAUAUCAGCUUUCUAAAUACAGGCCUGUCUCAUAUUACUGUUCAACAAAAGUCUUUGAAAUCAAAAGAGGAUGAAUUUUAUUCAGGUAUAUAUGAAGAUAAUUACAAAAAAAACCCUAGAAACAAAGCAAUUUUGCCUAUGAAGAACGAAUUCUGAGACUGAAAGCCAGGCUUUACUGGAGAAAAUAUCUUAAAAAUGCUGAUUGUGCUCAUGAUGGGACAAAGAACAGCAGUUCCUCCUAACUUAAACUUAAACUCAGAUUGUUCAUUCUCCACACUCUGUCCUGGAGUCUAUGUAAACUUGUGCUCUGCUGCACUGAUGUUCUGCAAAGUAGUGCUCUUUGAAUGGAAAGGAAUUUUACUCCAACUUCAGUAAUGCAGGGCUCAGAGAUCUCAAGCAAAUGGGAAAAAAUGUUAGUCCAGAGAUGGAAGCAGUAUAGCAUAACCAGAGGUAAUCCUCUUUAGCAGAGGCUUAGAGGCAGGCUAACGCAGCAAUAUUAUUUUCAGGCCCACACUUAAGAUGACUGCAAAUAUUUGUGUUGAUGAGCAAUAACUUGGGUGCCUUUGCUCAACUGUCCUCUGCUCAGCAUGGCUGGACAGCCAGCGUGCCAUUACAGUCUGCAGCCUCACCCGGGCUGAGGGUGCUUGUUGGAAGGAAGCAGUACCAGGUCUGAUGGUACAAAAUGUAACCAAGGGAAUGCAAAUUGACAUCUAAAAUGUAGAAAAGAAAAGAGAAAUCCAUGGUUGGACUUCUCUGAGCUUCUCUGCAAGGUUCUGAUCUAUGCUGCUGAACUAUCCUUUGAGACACAUUUGAUAAGGCUGCCUACAGAUUUGUACAUCUGCUCCAGCUGCUUUUAUUCUCUCUGAUCUCCUCCAUCACAUCUUGACUACAUGCUCCUUAUGGUAGUUAACAUCUCCCCCUUUAUGUCCAGUAGGUACACGGGACACUGUAUCUUCACUACUCAAGCCAACAAGUUCUAUCAUAGACCAAAAUUUCAUUUAUUUCAAACCCUUCAGUCUGAGGCAAGCAUCAUGAAAGUCUGAAGUUCUUUUUCCUCUAGGGCAUAACAGAGAGGGGCAGAUUACCUGUACCUUAAAAGCCAAAACCUUGCUAGGUUUUAUACAAAAAUAAAUGUAACCUUUAAUGGAUAAACAUCUGCAUAUUUUAUUCCUGAUAGACCAGUUAUUUCAAAUCAAAAAAGAAGUCUGUCACAAAAAUUCACAGUAACCAAAAAUUAUCAGAAAUAUUUAAUACUCUUAUGAACAUAACCAGAGAGUAAUUAAACUUUGGAAAAGAAAUCUCUGCAACAACAGUGGUUAUGUGCUAUGUCCUCAUUUGCUGGGGUGAAAACUAAAAUCUAACAAGAGAACUUGCAGAUUUAACAUAAAAUAACAGCCAGGGAAUAUAAAUAAAAUGUAAUAUACCAAAUGGGGAAUAAUUAUUUUGUGGAUUUAUGACACCUGUUUCCCUGUUCCAUAUUCAGAACUGCUAAGGGAAAAGAAAGAAGUACUCAUAGAGGUGAAAAGUUCUCAUAAUUCUUUGUUAUUAUUAUUUUUCAAUUAAUUUCUAAAUAUAUGCUUACCACACAGCUCUUUAUGAAGAAAAAAAGGCUGAACUAUAAAUAAUUUUUCCUCUUUUGGGAUUUAUUUUAACCUGCACAUUUUUUUCUGUUGUCAGAAAUAGGAAAACACAGAAAAUAUGCAGGAUUAGAUUAGUUUUCGUCUAGGAGCUUGAUUUUACUUAGAUUUUUUUAAAAAUACUGAUAGUGGUCUUGCAAAAAAAAAAAAAAAAAAA
ensembl:lncRNA